rnacentral:rRNA from 1 species
AGUGAACGCUGGCGGUAGGCCUAACACAUGCAAGUCGAACGGCAGCACAGUAAGAGCUUGCUCUUACGGGUGGCGAGUGGCGGACGGGUGAGGAAUACAUCGGAAUCUACUUUUUCGUGGGGGAUAACGUAGGGAAACUUACGCUAAUACCGCAUACGGCCUACGGGUGAAAGCAGGGGAUCUUCGGACCUUGCGCGAUUGAAUGAGCCGAUGUCGGAUUAGCUAGUUGGCGGGGUAAAGGCCCACCAAGGCGACGAUCCGUAGCUGGUCCGAGAGGAUGAUCAGCCACACUGGAACUGAGACACGGUCCAGACUCCUACGGGAGGCAGCAGUGGGGAAUAUUGGACAAUGGGCGCAAGCCUGAUCCAGCCAUACCGCGUGGGUGAAGAAGGCCUUCGGGUUGUAAAGCCCUUUUGUUGGGAAAGAAAAGCAGCAGGUUAAUACCCCGCUGUUCUGACGGUACCCAAAGAAUAAGCACCGGCUAACUUCGUG